GUGACCCCAGGAUGGGCGAGGCCACCCGCCGAGUUUAAGCAUAUCAAUAA
rnacentral:rRNA from 3 species